AUUGAACGCUGGCGGCAGGCUUAACACAUGCAAGUCGAGCGAGCGGCGGACGGGUGAGUAAUGUCUGGGAAUCUGCCUGAUGGAGGGGGAUAACUACUGGAAACGGUAGCUAAUACCGCAUACCAUCAGAUGUGCCCAGAUGGGAUUAGCUAGUAGGUGGGGUAAUGGCUGACCUCGGCGACGAUCCCUAGCUGGUCUGAGAGGAUGACCAGCCACACUGGAACUGAGACACGGCCCAGACUCCUACGGGAGGCAGCAGUGGGGAAUAUUGCACAAUGGGCGCAAGCCUGAUGCAGCCAUGCCGCGUGUGUGAAGAAGGCCUUCGGGUUGUAAAGCACUUUCAGCGGGGAGGCGUUACUCGCAGAAGAAGCACCGGCUAACUCCGUGCCAGCAGCCGCGGUAAUUC
rnacentral:rRNA from 1 species